rnacentral:tRNA from 1 species
GCGUUGGUGGUUCAGUGGUAGAAUUCUCGCUUUCCAUGUGGAGACCUGGGUUCGAGUCCCACCCAGUACA